GCUCAGAUUGAACGCUGGCGGCAGGCCUAACACAUGCAAGUCGAGCGGUAGCACAGAGAGCUUGCUCUCGGGUGACGAGCGGCGGACGGGUGAGUAAUGUCUGGGAAACUGCCUGAUGGAGGGGGAUAACUACUGGAAACGGUAGCUAAUACCGCAUAACGUCGCAAGACCAAAGUGGGGGACCUUCGGGCCUCAUGCCAUCAGAUGUGCCCAGAUGGGAUUAGCUAGUAGGUGGGGUAAUGGCUCACCUAGGCGACGAUCCCUAGCUGGUCUGAGAGGAUGACCAGCCACACUGGAACUGAGACACGGUCCAGACUCCUACGGGAGGCAGCAGUGGGGAAUAUUGCACAAUGGGCGCAAGCCUGAUGCAGCCAUGCCGCGUGUAUGAAGAAGGCCUUCGGGUUGUAAAGUACUUUCAGCGAGGAGGAAGGCGUUAAGGUUAAUAACCUUGGCGAUUGACGUUACUCGCAGAAGAAGCACCGGCUAACUCCGUGCCAGCAGCCGCGGUAAUACGGAGGGUGCAAGCGUUAAUCGGAAUUACUGGGCGUAAAGCGCACGCAGGCGGUCUGUCAAGUCGGAUGUGAAAUCCCCGGGCUCAACCUGGGAACUGCAUUCGAAACUGGCAGGCUAGAGUCUUGUAGAGGGGGGUAGAAUUCCAGGUGUAGCGGUGAAAUGCGUAGAGAUCUGGAGGAAUACCGGUGGCGAAGGCGGCCCCCUGGACAAAGACUGACGCUCAGGUGCGAAAGCGUGGGGAGCAAACAGGAUUAGAUACCCUGGUAGUCCACGCCGUAAACGAUGUCGACUUGGAGGUUGUGCCCUUGAGGCGUGGCUUCCGGAGCUAACGCGUUAAGUCGACCGCCUGGGGAGUACGGCCGCAAGGUUAAAACUCAAAUGAAUUGACGGGGGCCCGCACAAGCGGUGGAGCAUGUGGUUUAAUUCGAUGCAACGCGAAGAACCUUACCUACUCUUGACAUCCAGAGAACUUAGCAGAGAUGCUUUGGUGCCUUCGGGAACUCUGAGACAGGUGCUGCAUGGCUGUCGUCAGCUCGUGUUGUGAAAUGUUGGGUUAAGUCCCGCAACGAGCGCAACCCUUAUCCUUUGUUGCCAGCGGUCCGGCCGGGAACUCAAAGGAGACUGCCAGUGAUAAACUGGAGGAAGGUGGGGAUGACGUCAAGUCAUCAUGGCCCUUACGAGUAGGGCUACACACGUGCUACAAUGGCAUAUACAAAGAGAAGCGACCUCGCGAGAGCAAGCGGACCUCAUAAAGUAUGUCGUAGUCCGGAUUGGAGUCUGCAACUCGACUCCAUGAAGUCGGAAUCGCUAGUAAUCGUAGAUCAGAAUGCUACGGUGAAUACGUUCCCGGGCCUUGUACACACCGCCCGUCACACCAUGGGAGUGGGUUGCAAAAGAAGUAGGUAGCUUAACCUUCGGGAGGGCGCUUACCACUUUGUGAUUCAUGACUGGGGUGAAGUCGUAACAA
rnacentral:rRNA from 2 species